rnacentral:rRNA from 1 species
GAUGAACGCUAGCGAUAGGCUUAACACAUGCAAGUCGAGGGGCAGCAUGGUCUUAGCUUGCUAAGACUGAUGGCGACCGGCGCACGGGUGCGUAACGCGUAUGCAACUUGCCUCACAGAGGGGGAUAACCCGUCGAAAGACGGACUAAUACCGCGUACACUCCAUCUUGGGCAUCCAAGGUAGAGGAAAUGAAAUUCGCUGUGAGAUAGGCAUGCGUCCCAUUAGCUAGUUGGUGAGGUAACGGCUCACCAAGGCGACGAUGGGUAGGGGAACUGAGAGGUUGAACCCCCACACUGGUACUGAGACACGGACCAGACUACUACGGGAGGCAGCAGUGAGGAAUAUUGGUCAAUGGGCGGGAGCCUGAACCAGCCAAGUCGCGUGAAGGAUGACUGUCUUAUGGAUUGUAAACUUCUUUUAUACGGGAAUAACAAGAGUCACGUGUGACUCCCUGCAUGUACCGUAUGAAUAAGCAUCGGCUAACUCCGUG